rnacentral:rRNA from 1 species
UUAGCCAUGCAAGUCUCAGUACAUGCCGCACUAAGGUGAAACCGCAAAAGGCUCAUUAAAUCAGUUAUGGUUCCUUGGAUCUUAAACAGUUACUUGGAUAACUGUGGUAAUUCUAGAGCUAAUACAUGCAAACAAGUCCCGACCAGAGAUGGGAGGGACGCUUUUAUUAGAUCAAAACCGAUCGGCGUCCGGCUCCGGCCGGCGCCGUCUCUUUUGGUGACUCUGGAUAACUUUUAGCCGAUCGCACGGUCACAGUACCGGCGACGCAUCUUUCAAAUGUCUGACUUAUCAACUGUCGAUGGUAGGCUCUGCGCCUACCAUGGUUGUAACGGGUAACGGGGAAUCAGGGUUCGAUUCCGGAGAGGGAGCCUGAGAAACGGCUACCACAUCCAAGGAAGGCAGCAGGCGCGCAAAUUACCCACUCCCGGCACGGGGAGGUAGUGACGAAAAAUAACGAUACGGGACUCAUCCGAGGCCCCGUAAUCGGAAUGAGUACACUUUAAAUACUUUAACGAGUACCAAUUGGAGGGCAAGUCUGGUGCCAGCAGCCGCGGUAAUUCCAGCUCCAAUAGCGUAUAUUAAAGUUGUUGCGGUUAAAAAGCUCGUAGUUGGAUCUGUGUGCCACGCUGUCGGUUCACCGCCCGUCGGUGUCAACUGGCAUGUCUGUGGGACGUCCUGCCGGUGGCGGUACGGGCUGCCGGCGCUGCGUAGGGGCACAACCCCGAAGCACGCCGGCGUGUCCCGGUCCGCCGAUCCAAUCCCGCCGCGGUGCUCUUCACUGAGUGUCGAGGUGGGCCGGCACGUUUACUUUGAACAAAUUAGAGUGCUCAAAUCAGGUCGUAUUUAUGCCUGAAUACUGUGA